CAGGCAUUCGGCUUAUACGAACGCGGGCUGAGUCAUAAAGAUGGCGCACCUCUUCCAAGUCGACCGCGUCCGCCUGCUCUGCUCUUGCGGUGUUCUCAAACCCAUCACUGCUAUCUACUUCUGCCGCCACUGUCUGAAGCUGAGAUGUGGGAACUGCGUGUCUCACGAGGUGGACACACUCUUUUGUCCAAACUGCUUGGAGAAUAUGCCUUCAACUGAAGCCCGGCUCAAGAAGAAUAGGUGUGCCAACUGCUUUGAUUGCCCAAGCUGCUGCCACACCCUUUCAACCCGGGCAACUAGCAUUCAGGCUCCCUCCCCAGAGGAUCCAAGCAAAACUGUUGCCAGGAAAGUCUAUUACUUGGCCUGUACCAGCUGCAGGUGGACCUCGAGAGAUGUUGGACUAAAGGAUCAGACUGUAGCAACUGGUGGUUGGGCAGAACAAGAUAAUGAACACUACAAGCAACUGCAGUCCCUUUUGGAACACUAUCGCUCCUUGGCCCAACGUGAGAAACUGGAGAAGGAGCGCAAAAGGUUCUCACACCGCAAAUCAUCAUAUUUCAGUAUGACAGACAAGUAUAGCCUUCCCUCCCUGAUUGGAAGGAAGUCCCUUUCACCGUUGUCUCCUUACUCUCCGAAAGGUGAUGGCAGCCAGACUUCAGAGCUGACUCCUUCAGAAGCUGUAGAGGAAGUAGAGGGACUUCCUGCUGACAUCUUUACUGCAGAAGUCACUCUUUCAUCAAUUACUUCAAUGGAGCAAAGAAUGGCAUCUCCUGAAUGGCAGCCAGAGAAGAGCAGUGAUCUGUAUCCACUUCACAAACACAUUUUGGUGAAACGUUCCCUUCGUUGUCGUCAUUGUGAACAUAACUUAUCUAAACCAGAGUAUAAUCCUUCGUCUGUCAAGUUCAAGAUCCAGCUUGGGGCUUUUUAUCAUGUUCCUGAAGUGAGGAUGGUGCAGCAGGCAGAUCUCAAAUGGGGUGUAGAGACAUCUGUGCAGAUCUCCCUGUGUAAUCCAACCCCUCAUGAUAUGACUCUGGCUUUCCUCCCCUUUGUCCCAGAGGCACAUAUUGCUGCUCAGCAGAAAGGUGAGGAACUUGGAGAAGGAGGCAGCCUCAACACAAGCAGCUUGGUCCGCGUGGUUGAAAUUCCAGUGGAGAAGACCAAUUUGACUCCCACAGCAGAUGUGGCAUUACCGCAGGGACAACUCAUUCUUACUGCCCGUGAUGAUACAGCCGAGUAUGAUGACCAGGACACAAAUAGCAGCUUCAAUGAUGAUCCUCAAGUGGUUGCUUGGAGACGAGCAAAUAAAGUUGGUGUUAAUCUUCUAGUUACUCCUCAUUCUGGUGCUAAGAGGGCCAUGGUUGGCUUUGUACUUCGGUAUGAAUACACCAACACUGUUGCAACUGCAACUGAGUCACGAACUGUCACACUGAACAUUCCUGUCAUGGUAGAUGUAGGCCCAGUGUCAGAAUAGACUUGACUGUAAAGUUGCGUUAUAUAUAUGAAUUGUAAAAGGGCCUUUAGCUUUUGUAUCAUGUCAUUAUUAUUGUUGUAUAACAAGCAAAUGCUUCAAUGCUUAUAUGAAAUAAAAAAGAAUCUGCAGUUGUUUAGACACAGGCUAUUCCUCUUUGUUUAUCAUGAAGACUUAGCUAUGUAAAAAAUUAGAAGAGUGCUACAAAAUGUCAUAUGGCCUUUUAGUCUGUAACUCUAUUUCUUUCAAACUUUGUAAUUGGCUUUACUUAAUAUUAGUAAAUAAAAAUUAAUGAUAUUAGAUUAUGUGUUCUUACUAAAAAAAAUAUGCAAGUUUUGGAGAUAGAAGGAAAUGGAGUGUUAUUUUAGUCACUUUUUGUGACAACUUCAAAAGUUCUUUAUCCAGAAGUUGUCAGUUUGAAAUCCAGCUAUGAUAUUUAUCCAAGCAUUCUGUUUGACAUAAUUAAUUGGAAAUACGAAAAAUUACUUUUACUGCACUGUCAGAUCAAGUAUUUAUAAUUUUGGAAGUGUGGACCAUGUGAAAAUAGAAGCAUUAUAGUUUUCAUGAUUACCUGAUUAAAACUCUUUCACUGGGCAGUAUCCCACAAUCAAGUUAGUGUGCUUUGUGCCUUAUUUCUAAUUUGAAUAAUCAUUAGUUUUUGUUAUUACUGUCCACAAACAUCACAAAAAAAAAUGUGGGCACUUGGUGUGCCUUAGACUAAUGAAGAAGAGAAAGUUAGUGAUUUGGGCUUUAGGACUAUGAUGUUAACUGCUUGAAAUGAAGGUAAUAUAUCUUCACUGAAAUUUACGGUAUCUUAAAAGAAAGUCACUGCAGCUGUAGCACAAGGCAAAGAGACUUUUCAGUUAGCAUAAUUUGUUUGUUUUGCUUCUCAGUUUGCACUGCGAAUAUAUAGUAUAUAAAAAUACAUUAGAAAGGCCUUUUUAAUAGUGAAAUAGUUAAACCUGAAACAAGUUAUUUCAUUAACUUUUUUUUAUUACAUUCAAGAUAUAACCACAGCAUUGAUCUUGAAUUAAUUUCUUGCAUAUUCAUACUGAUGCAAGGUUAUUUCACCUAACAUUUUCUCAAUAUCUUGAUAAUAGUUCUCUUGUUGUGUUUGUAGGUGUAUGUUGUUUUAUAUUCUCAGUUACGUCAGUUUUUAUUUGUGGUGAAAAUAUGAAAUAUGUAUUUAAACUGUAUACCAAAACUAUUUAUUUCUUUAUCAAUUGAUGAAUCCAGACAUCUUUAUUUAUCAACAUUUCUUGGGCAGCUUUAAUGGUAUAGCAUCCAUAUAUUUUGACUGCAGAUAUUUAUUUGCAAUCAAAAAAACAUAUGUAUCAAUUAUAAGAUAAUAAACCAAAUAAAAAGUU
rnacentral:misc_RNA from 1 species